rnacentral:rRNA from 1 species
UACGAACUGUCCUAACGUUGUUCGGAAUCACUGGGCUUAAAGGGUGCGUAGGCGGCUCCAUAAGUCAGGUGUGAAAUUUCGGAGCUUAACUCCGAAACUGCAUUUGAUACUGUGGAGCUUGAGGACUGGAGAGGAGACUGGAAUUUACGGUGUAGCGGUGAAAUGCGUAGAUAUCGUAAGGAAGACCAGUGGCGAAGGCGGGUCUCUGGACAGUUCCUGACGCUGAGGCACGAAGGCCAGGGGAGCAAACAGG